UAGGGAAUCUUCGGCAAUGGACGAAAGUCUGACCGAGCAACGCCGCGUGAGUGAAGAAGGUUUUCGGAUCGUAAAACUCUGUUGGUAGAGAAGAACGUUGGUGAGAGUGGAAAGCUCAUCAAGUGACGGUAACUACCCAGAAAGGGACGGCUAACUACGUGCCAGCAGCCGCGGUAAUACGUAGGUCCCGAGCGUUGUCCGGAUUUAUUGGGCGUAAAGCGAGCGCAGGUGGUUUAUUAAGUCUGGUGUAAAAGGCAGUGGCUCAACCAUUGUAUGCAUUGGAAACUGGUAGACUUGAGUGCAGGAGAGGAGAGUGGAAUUCCAUGUGUAGCGGUGAAAUGCGUAGAUAUAUGGAGGAACACCGGUGGCGAAAGCGGCUCUCUGGCCUGUAACUGACACUGAGGCUCGAAAGCGUGGGGAGCAAACAGGAUUAGAUAGCCCUGGUAGUCCAC
rnacentral:rRNA from 1 species